rnacentral:rRNA from 1 species
GCAGGCUGAAAUUACGCCUGCAUGAAGCCGGAAUUGCUAGUAAUGGCAGGUCAGCAUACUGCCGUGAAUACGUUCCCGGGCCUUGUACACACCGCCCGUCACACCAUGAGAGUUGGGAAUACCCGAAGCCUGUGAGCUAACUUUUAGAGGCAGCAGUCGAAGGUAGAAUCAAUGAUUGGGGUGAAGUCGUAACAAGGUAUC